AAGUAGGAGGCGUAACUUGAAGUUGUCGAAAUCUCACAGAAUCACGCGAGAUGUCAAAAUGAUAACUUGUUGGCUGCUUUCAGUAGGGCACAGAGUAGAAUAUUGAUUACGUUUUUUAAGGAAAGCAGGGGUUUUAGGCAGGAUUUGAUGCAUAAGGUGUGUGUAGAUAUUAAUGGUAGGGGACAAUGUGAGUGAUGCGUACCUUUAGUAGGAAAACCUAUUAUCUGAUCCACACUCCGGGACAGAAGAGGGCGGUAUUGCACCAAUAAGCUGGAUGCCAACCGCCGUUAAACUGGAAAGAAGUUACAAUGAGUUACAAUGGAACAGAUUAUGUUUGUCUGCUGUAGAGUGACUGAUGAAGGAAUGCUGCCAUCAAAGGAUUUGUAUCUUUUGUGGUGGAGCAGGACCUGCAAGGAAAGGGGAAAAAAAGGAAAAACCUGAAACAAAAGAAUAAAGUAAUGACUUUUUGUAUUGUGUGUGUGUAU
ensembl:lncRNA